GACUACAUGAAGCUGGAAUCGCUAGUAAUCGCGAAUCAGAAUGUCGCGGUGAAUACGUUCCCGGGUCUUGUACACACCGCCCGUCACACCACUGGGAGUCGGAAAUGCCCGAAGUCAGUGACCCAACCGUAAGGAGGGAGCUGCCGAAGGUGGAGCCGGUAACUGGGGUGAAGUCGUAACAAGGUAUC
rnacentral:rRNA from 1 species